rnacentral:snRNA from 1 species
GUGCUCGAUUCAGGAGCAUGUACACCGAAACUGGAAUGAUACAGAGAAGAUGGGCAUGGCCCCUGUGAAAGAACGACAUGGAAAUUCAUGAAGAGUUCCACAUUUAA